UUCUCGUAAUUUCCAACUCGUUAGGAUGGCAGGUUGUAGGCAUAGGUCCCGAUAGGUCCAGGUUCAAUUCCGAGCCAUCGCCGCCCGGCUUCUUUGCAGGAUUAUACGCUGCCGCCGUUGACUUGUACGGGCGUCGUUUCCGCUCCCGUGGAAUCUGUUUUUGUUUUCCGUCCGUCGCGUCUGAUUUUCGCCGCCGCCGUUUGUUAUCAACCACCGCCGCCGUGUCUUAUCGACGGGAGUGUUGAUCCCGCUCGCGGUUUCUUUUCUAUUUAUUUUCCGCCGUCCGUCAAGUCCGUUUUUUUCUUUUCGUUUCAAACUUUUUUUUGUGAAAUCGUUUUCAUCGCUUCAAUCGUAUUAUUUAAUACAUGUUAUUACAUAUUCGAUUUGUUUUACCGAAAAUUAUUUAUCCGUUUUUCUUUACUCAUGUUGAUUUGAUGUGUAACGUUAUUGUUGAACGCUUACACACAGCUGUGAAACGAAGAAAACAUCAUAAUACGUUUAAAAUAUAGUUUGUUUUUUUAUCAGCGUUAAGUACGUUCAAUACGAUUUGUUUUGCCAAACGAUAUAGGGAGAUAGCUGUUGUUUGAUUUAUUUAUACUUUUUUUGAAUGGAAAGGAAUUGAAUUCAAAGGGUCUUCGGUGCUAACGAUACUGUUCAAAACGUUCACAGCUAUAAAACAACGAGUACUCGUUAUGAGUGUUACAACAUCAGUCGUUACACUUGGACGAAAGGAAAUUAAAACUUUUGUGAUGUAAUGUAAAUAAGAAAACCCGAUUGAUUUGAUGUGAAAUGCUGUAAUGAUAUUAUAAAAUGCACACACAGCUAUAAAAUAAUGAAAAAAACAUGGAAUAAUGCAGUUACUACUUCGGUACUAAUGAUUAACUAAUAAAAACAAACACAACUAUAAACUAAAGAAAACAUGGUAUGCCAUGCAUUUUUCAACUCAUUCUUUCAAUUAUGUAUGUUGAAUGUUAUAUUUUCGGUUUGUAUAAAUAAGUCUUAUAGUAUCAGUUUUUACACUUGGAUGAAAGGAAAUGAAUAUAAAUUAAAACUUAUGUGAUAUUAUAAGGAUAAUAGUAAACCCAGUAUGUUUUAGCAUUAAUGUAAAUUAUUUUCUUUGUAUAAUAUAUGC
rnacentral:lncRNA from 1 species